UGUACAAUGGGGUGAUCUGUGCAAUGAGGUGAUCUGUACAACGAGGUGAUCUGUACAAUGGGGUGGUCUGUACAAUGGCUGAUGUGUACAAUGAAGUGACGUGUACAAUGUGGCUCAAGCCGUCUGUGUAAUUAUCUUAAACUUUUUCAUUUCGGAAAUGAAACAGCUCCUCCCUUCACCGCCACCUUGGCUAUUUCUGGGACCAAAGGAAUCCUUGAAGCUGACCGGGCAGGAGAGUCCACGCUGGGAGUAAAAUCACUACAAACUGUCCAUCAGAAGGCCCCUGCUGAGUAGUUGGCAGGGUGGCUGCACAUAAUGGAAAGCACAUAAGCUUGAAGCCAGACAGAUGGGAGUUCUAACCCCAGCCCUGCCACUUAUUCCCAGGUGACACUGAGUGGAAAUUAGGCCAAAAUAAAUACUACUUUCUGCUUAAAAAAAUGCAGUGAUGUCCAAAGAGAAGGGAGGAGGAAGGAUGAAAGGAAAGACAGAGGAGGAAGGAAGAGAAGAAAGAAGAGUGGCCGGCACAAGGGCUUGGAGAUCCCUGAAGCUGUUUUCCUUUCUCCUCACCCCCACAGGGAGGGAUCCACAUCGUUGUGGGGUUUUUGUUGUUGUUGUUUUUGUUUUUGUUUUUUUGCCUCCCUUCAUCAAAGCAUUCAUUGUAGUGUAUGGUAAUUGUCUCUGAAUGUAACAGCCUCUCUUCCCUGAGGCCUGGGUCUGCUUGUUUCAUACCAUCUUCUCCUUAACACACAGUGCUUGGUAAACAAUACCUAUUAAUAAACAUUUGUUGAAUGAAUGAAUGAGUGAAUGAACGAAUACUGCACUCUUUCGACUUGGUUAGAGACAUGUCUUGUAGGCUGGCAUGUACUUCACACAGCACUCUUAGGUAGAGUUUGUAUAUGUUAUUCCAUUGAAGGGAAAAGGAAGCCAGACUGUGGGGAGAAAAAAAAAAAAAAAA
rnacentral:lncRNA from 1 species